rnacentral:lncRNA from 1 species
CUCGAACCUGGGAGACAGAGGUUGCAGUGAGCUGAGAUCGUGCCACUGCACUCCAGCCUGGGCGACAGAGUGAGACUCCAUCUCAAAAAAAAGAAAAAAGGAUCUACUGAACAUAUCCAGGACACUGUAGAUUGUGACCUUACCAAGAAUUCGAAAUCAACUUCUGCACUGGUGCUCUCUUGACAACGGUAUUAUCUCUUAUGAUUUAAAAGUCCAUUCCAUUUUUAAAUGUCAGUUUCAUGAUAUCCUUUCAUUAAGAAAAACCUUUUCUAUUCUAAUGAACUCUGGGCUGGGGUUUCUUUUUUUUCUCUGCUUUGGACUAAUGAGUGUAAUUACUUCCAUUUGCAAACUCCACCCUUCUCAUCAACUUUGUAUUUUAGACCUAUCUAUUGACUGCCUGGCUUCCCUCGGCUGUCACUGUGAUGAUCAAGGUAGAUGAAUAGGUGAUAUUCCAAUGGAAAUAUUCCAGGGCGUCAAAUCCAUACCCCAAAUGGAAAAAAAGACAGCACUGUGGGACAGUAACUUUAAUAUUCUUAUAAAUGUAUUUUUCUUAUUUGUAGUGGGG